AAGCGUUUAUGACCAGACUUGGGCUUGGUUAAUCAUCUGGGGUUCUCCCCAGUGCACUUUUCCAGUCCAGGCCAGCAUCAGUUUUCCCCGGGGGAUAAAGGCGGCGGGAAUGUGG
rnacentral:rRNA from 1 species